rnacentral:misc_RNA from 1 species
GUAGGAGAAAAAAUAUACAAUGAAGUAGAGAAUGUCACGUGGUUAUUUAAUAACAGUAAUAUCAUGGCGGCCAGUUUAGGCUAGUCAAUAAUGAUCAGUAUUGGUCAGAAAAUUUAUUGUUUGUGUUGUUUUAAGUGCAAUUGUAGAAUAAACAAACUUGAACUUAAAUGGAAUUCUUAAAAAAUGAAUUCGUAUAAUGUAAAUUCAAUGGAAAAUGAAAUAAUAUGAAAUCGUUUUAAUCUAUGACGAUAUUUCAUAUAUUUAUUAAUAAAGAGUAUGGAAUAAAUAAAAAUGUUUGUAAAAGACCCUUGUGGGAUCGUGUGUAUCAUAAUUACAUACGUUGCUGUCUUUUAUGCAGAUUACGUCGUCGUACGUUGGGUUAUCCUGCAUAGUUUACAAGACAGUCUAUGGGGUCCUUUUCAUGUUGUGGCUUUCAACACCAUUGUAUUAUUAUUGAUAACAUCACAUUUGAAGGCAGUCUGCAGUGAUCCUGGUGUUGUGCCACUACUUCAAAGUCGUAUGGACUUUUCUGACAUUCAUACAGAUAAUCCAGAAACAAAAAUUGAAUGUGAUGAAAGAGACAGUUGGACUGUUUGUACUAGAUGUGAAACAUACAGACCACCUAAAGCAUGUCACUGUAGAAUUUGUAAACGAUGUGUUAGGAGAAUGGAUCAUCAUUGCCCAUGGAUAAACAACUGUGUUGGAGAACGAAAUCAAAAGUACUUUAUUCAAUUUCUGAUCUAUGUUGGAAUAUUGGCCCUCUAUGCUCUAGGCUUGGUGAUAACCUCAUGGAUUUUAGAAUGUUCUCGAUGCAGUAAUGAUAUAGCUGUCAAACAGAGUCGCAUCUUACACUGUGUUAUAUUGGUAUUGGAAUCAGCACUGUUUGGUAUGUUUGUCAUCGCAAUGCUUGUAGACCAAUUUCAAGGUAUUCUGGGAGAAGAAAAUAUAAUGGAACAUAUGCAGAAUAGUCAUCAUUAUAAAAGAAACAGUUCACGUACUUUGAUUUUACUUUCCGAGGUUUGUGGUAAAAGCCAUCCAAUUUUAUGGAUGUUUCCUUGCCAAAACCCACCACGUUAUACCUUCCGAAAAGAUGCGUACCUGAUAGAUCAUGAAGUUUAGAUAAAUGUUUGAUUGCACAUUAUGAAGUAAAAGCUUUUGUUAUGGCUUUGUUUGCCAUAAGUACUUUUUUUUAUAUUUUUUAUUUACU